CCAGAAAAAUAUUGAUAUAUCGAAAGGACACAAAGUAAUAGUGCCCAUUCGUUUGCAUACACAAAACAGAGUCAUGCUCGCUUGGUUCUCAAAUUUGCCGGUUCGUUUGGAUCCUUAAAGUGCGCCAUCGCAGGUGGUCAAAUUUUAGCUCACACGUCGCAAAGAUAUAACCACGGAAUGAACAAACAUACUCUGUACACCGAUCUUUUCAAAUCUUACAUCAAUGCUUUUCCUGGUGCAAAGAAAGCUAAUUUACAAAAGAAAACAAUCGAACAAUGGAAUCUGAUCAAGAAGGACAAAGAUCUACAAGCGAAGGUUACUCAGCUGAUCCACGAAAACGAAUCUUUGGCUUUAAGAAAAAGGGGGACCUUAUUACAGUUUUGGUCACAGUCAACAUCUUCUUCACAAUCAAUAUCUUCUACACAAUCAACAACCUCAGAGCCAACAUCAUCUAAUAUAAUAUCAGAAGAACCAAAGUUAGCUUGCGCGUUGAAACAAUCUUCGGUGCAAAAAGAAACUUCAACUUCCCAUAAUCUUGAGCGAAAACCUCUGAGAGCGUUUGCCCAAGAAAAAUUGAAAGCUGAAAUUGAUCUUCUGAAAACGGAUUUGAUUGGGCUAAUGAAAAGGAAAAACCGUGGGCAACUUAGCGAAGAACAAGAAAAAAAUCUGAAGGAAAAAAACGUGUGCUGGAAGCCUUGGAAAAAAAGUUGAGAACCAAAAUCAAUGAUCAACAACGCAAGAUAAAAUCUCGUGCAAUAAAAAGGAAAUUCAUGGCUGAACUUAUUGAUAAGAAUCCGGAAAUUAAAAAAAAAUGGAAAUUGCGGCAUAGUCGUGGGAGACCAAGGUUGGAAGAUGAACAACCUGAACUAUUGAACACGAUAGUAACGAUUUAACUACCCCUCAGUAACUCGAAAUGUCAAAAUGAUAUCUUUUGAAAAAUGUUCGAAACUGGCGACCCAAGUCGAUAAAAUGUUGUUUGUCGAAAAACAGUUACCAUAACCUUGGUUACGCAUUCGGUUCCAUUUAUCAAUGUAAACAAGAAACAUGUGGUCUGAAAUUUUUUUGCUUUUUGAAAUUUGUUCAUAUGGAGAAAUAUAAACGUUUGAUUCAAGUGCAUUUGAUUCUAUGCAGUGAAAUGCAUGAAAAAAAAAACAAGUAAAUGUCAUACUCAGAAAAACAAAACUUUGUCACGCACAGUUGGGUUUGAGUUUAUAAAUAAUAUCUAUCUCCGAAAGAUACUUAGCUGACUCUGAAGAAGUAUGAAACUCAACUAAUCGUAGAUUUUGAGGAACAACUGAAAGCUCAUUUUGGCAUUAAAGUGUUUCGUAUAGAUAUUGCGAAUUAUGGUUUAUUUUUAGGAGUGAUCUUGACUAUUGAAAACUACUAGGUGAUACAAAUUUGAUUUACUUGUUUUAUACUUUUUGUACUUUGAGCGCUUUCAAAAAGAUCCACAUUAGUGCUUUUGCGGAAGUCCUUUCAGGGUGACUCUUCGCUAAAUUUUUAU